GAAACUGUUAAUAGAGAAAAUUGCGGACAGCUGCUCACCAUUUGCUUUCUGCAAAUCUUCGUAAUCUGCGUGUGAAAAAGUUACUCUUGUUGUAGGACAUCAAUUCUUUUACAUCUAAAACCUUCUUUGAAACUAAAAAUCCUUAGCAAUGGCUAACCAAUUAAGAUUACCUUUUCUCAGCUUCAACCAUCUAACAAUAUACCUCAUUCUGCUACUAUCACAAUCCCCACAAAUUUUCUCAACAUGUCGCGACUUCUGUAACAACAUUCCUAUAAAUUACCCAUUUAGCAUCGACGAUGGUUGUGGCGCGCCACAAUAUCGCCACAUGCUAAAUUGUUCAGCCACUGAUUUAUUCUUCCUAACACCAUCAGGAAAUUACAAAGUCCAAUCCAUAGACUAUGACAAAAAAACUAUGACCAUUUUCGAUCCAUCAAUGUCAACUUGUUCAAUCUUACAACCUCACCACGACUUCAAAAUGUCAGAAAUUCAAUCAGCUAUAAUCCCACCUUCACCUGACACAAUUUUCAUCCUCAUGAAUUGCUCUAUUGAUUCACCAGUUCUUAACCAUUACAAAUCUGUCUGUUUUAAUUUCUCUGGUCAUUCUUGUGACGAACUUUACGGAUCGUGCACUUCGUUUAAGUUGUUUCAUAUGCUGUCGAAUAGUACACCGGCUUGUUGUUUUACGGGUUAUGAGACGGUGAAGUAUAUGAGUAUGGAUAUAUUGGAUUGUACGCAUUAUACGAGUGUGUAUAAUUCGGAUAAAUUGGAGGGAGUUGGACCUUUGGAUUGGCUUUAUGGGAUGAAGUUGUCAUUUAGUGUCCCGGAUACAGGAUGUGAACGUUGUGCUAAGUCUGGUGGGAAUUGUGGAUUUGAUGUGGAGACUGAGAUGGCACAAUGUAUUUGCGCAAGCACUAGUAAUUCUACCAGAGAUUGUGGAGUGACAAACGAGCGAGUUGGGUCGGAUAUGGUUCGGGUCGAAAACGAUAAAUUCGACUUGUUGUUUUCACUGUGAUAGCAUGGGAGAUAUUUCGGAUGAUUCUUCUCACUAGCUACACUUUAAUAUGAUCUAAAAUGGACUUUCUUCUCUUUACUAUAUUCGGUUAACGUAAUGUGUAACAUAUUCAAUGUUUCUUUCAAAUAAUAAGUUGUCCGAAACUGUUUCCUUCAGAUAUUACUACUAGUGUUGAUAAAACGGAGUAGGAUACACAAAAUUUUAUUGCUAGCUAGUCAAAGACGUGACAGAUCCUAAAUACUUCAGAUAAUCUGGGGGCAGAGAAUCAAACUUUGCUGAGAGUUACCGGGC